AUUAUUGAGAGUCACUAUGAUCAGAGUUCUAGUCAUUUUUCAGUCACUCUACUGGAUUCAAGGAAUUACAGGGGCGAAUGAUGUCCAUCAGCCCAAUACACUCUGGGUUAAAGUGGGCCAGUCAGCCACAAUAAACUGCUCACACACCAAAGAUGCAAGUCACAAUCAGAUGUACUGGUAUCGUCAGUACCAUGGAGAAAGCAUGGAGCUCAUAGUGUUCACUACCAGCUUUGGAACUCUAGACUUUGGAAACUUCAACAAGAGUAAAUUUUCAGCUAUUAAAUCAGUUCCUGAGAGCGGCUCAUUCACAGUGAACGAUGUGAAUUAUAAUGACAGCGCUGUGUAUUUCUGUGCUGUGAGAGUACACAGUGUUUUAACCACAAGGCAGAGCUGUACAAAAACACUGUACGUCUAA